UACCAGCACCCCGAGUGGUCGGGACGUUUAUUGGGCCUAAAGCAUCCGUAGCCGGUUCUACAAGUCUUCCGUUAAAUCCAACUGCUUAACAGGUGGGCUGCGGAAGAUACUAUAGAGCUAGGAGGCGGGAGAGGCAAGCGGUACUCGAUGGGUAGGGGUAAAAUCCGUUGAUCCAUUGAAGACCACCAGUGGCGAAGGCGGCUUGCCAGAACGCGCUCGACGGUGAGGGAUGAAAGCGGGGGGAGCAAACCGG
rnacentral:rRNA from 1 species